rnacentral:lncRNA from 1 species
CUUCCUUUUUGCAGGACAGAAUUACUCAACCCGUGUAGACAGGAGCUUUAAUAGAUGAGCCAAAAAGAAGUUCGUUUUUAGCAAUUGACUUUUAUCCUAUUAUAGCUCAGUUAGAUGUGAAAAUAAAUGUCAAUAUAGAUGUGGAUGCCAAAAACUAAAUUGACAAUUUUAUUUUGACAGGAGGUCGAAAACUUAGGCAAGAUAAAAUUGAAAUAGACCAACAACUAAGGAGUUUGCCCGUUGGAGCAAUGGGAGCUAUGCAGAGCUUUAAUUCUCAAAGACGCAAUGAUAGAGGUUAUAGUUCUGAUAUGGAAACAAGUGGACGAGGCGGUAGAAGCGGAGCAAGAGGUCGGGGUCGAGGUAACAGAGGUGGAGGGCGGCAUUUAAACGAUCAACGUUUCAAUUCUGGUUCCAGACAUCAAACGCCAGACAACAUAGACGAAAGAUUACCACCUCGACAAAGUUACCAAGCCAUGGGAUCGAGAGGUUCUCACAAUAAUAGCUACUCAUCAAGGCCAAGGGGCGCUGGUGGCCGGAAAGACCACCGACAGAACGAAGAUAGAUGGAGAGUUAAUGAUGACGAUGAACACUCUCAAUUAGAUUCUCAUUCACACGAAAACGCAGACAGAGAAUCAGUAUCGAGUGUGGAAGGAGCACGAACAAAUAACCGCAGGCCACGAAAUGCCAGGCGCAAAACGCGACCCCGAAGCCACACACCGACCACUGAGAAAGAAACAAUGAGUGGUCAAGCUCAUGAAGUAGUAAAUAACAAGACUCAGGAAAGAAUUCUCAAGAGAGCUCUAGAAAUCAACGAGAUUCACGGUCCAAAGGACAGAAGCCACCCAGUCGAAGCGAGCCUCCGCAUCAGUUUCAAUGACAAACCAAAAGAACAACCACUUGUCAAUGGCACCUCCGAAUAG